rnacentral:rRNA from 1 species
UAGGAUGAACGCUGGCGGCGUGCCUAACACAUGCAAGUCGAACGAUUACUUCGGUAAAGAGCGGCGGACGGGUGAGUAACGCGUGGGUAACCUGCCUCAUACACAUGGAUAACAUACCGAAAGGUAUGCUAAUACAGGAUAAUAUAAGAGAUUCACAUGGAUUUCUUAUCAAAGCUCCGGCAGUAUGAGAUGGACCCGCGUCUGAUUAGCUAGUUGGUAAGGUAAUGGCUUACCAAGGCGACGAUCAGUAGCCGACCUGAGAGGGUGAUCGGCCACAUUGGAACUGAGACACGGUCCAAACUCCUACGGGAGGCAGCAGUGGGGAAUAUUGCACAAUGGGCGAAAGCCUGAUGCCAGCAACGCCGCGUGAGUGAUGAAGGCCUUCGGGUCGUAAAACUCUGUCCUCAAGGAAGAUAAUGACGGUACUUGAGGAGGAAGCCCCGGCUAACUACGUGCCAGCCGCUGC